UUUCGACCCCUUAAAAUGGUACAAAAUUCAUGAAACCCUCAAUAAAAAUAUGUGAAAAAGGUUUUAUAACACUCUCCAUCGAAAAAUCUUUGGAAAAACCUCAACAGCAAGUACCACCAGACUGAAUGGCUCCACAGUCUUCAUCACGAUAUCGGACAUAGCAAGCCAUCGAUCAAGCCGAUUUAAAAAAAAACUUACAGUGUUUAAAAAAAGUGUUUUAAUUGUUCUGUUUCCCGGUUCGGCGUCGAGUAACGUGCGCAAGAACCCACCGUUUUCAUCGGUACUAUUCGAGGUACCCUCGUAAGCUCCGCUAUCUGUAAUUGGCACACACAGCUGCCGAGAUAGAGCGGCGAGAUUACAGAGCCGAUCAUGUUGGACCGAAUAGCAAUAGUACUGUGUCUCUUGUGCCUCCCGGUACUAGGAUGCGCGCAUUUAGACGAUGUUCCUAGUGACGGGAAAGUCGGUAGUGAUGAUGGAGACGUUGUCAGUACCAAAACUAAGCCAGGAGAUGUUCUUCAAGUGGAAAAAUCGAUAAAAGCAGUUGAAGAAACAGGAUAUAAUGCUUUGGACGGUGUUUCUAGUACCAGGAAGGUUGAUAUUGAUGAUGGAGAUGUUGUCAGGAUAGCAACUAAGCAAGAUGAGGUUGUUCAGGUGCAAAACGCCAAUGAGAGCGUCGUGCAAACAAGUUACAAUGCACAUAAAAAAUUUUCAGUGGAGGAAUUGCUGACCAAAACGUUUCCAAAAAAAACUUCAAAUGAUACUGGGUUGAAUCCUUGUAAAGCAGAUGUGUUUGUGGAUGAUAUUGCCAUAAAUUUUCCCGAUCCCAAAAGGAAAGUCUUCGCUAGAUUCAUGCACGAGGACCUGGAAAAUGCUGAUAAACAAGCCUUGAAUUCGGAAAAAGCAAAGAAAUUGUUGGAGAAAAACAAACUAUGGAAAAUCACUCCAGAACCGCUCCAAACCACACCUAACCCACACAAAAUUACCAAAAGAGCAGCAGUAACAACCUUCAAGGAACGUCUAUGGGACCAUGGAGUCAUCCCAUAUGAAAUCGACGACUCCUUCAGUGAUUUUCGCAAAGCUCUGGCCAGACAAGCCAUGAGGCACUGGGAAAACCACACCUGCCUCAAAUUCAUCGAAAGGAACAAGACUGAGAACGACAAUUACGUGUUUUUCACCGAAAAACCAUGCGGUUGUUGCUCGUUUGUCGGUAAAAGAGGCUUGGGAGCUCAGGCUUUGAGCAUAGGGCCUAAAUGCGCUGUUUUUGGUGUGGUUGUACACGAAAUAGGACACGCUAUUGGGUACUAUCAUGAACAUACCAGACCUGAUCGAGAUAGUUAUGUCGAAGUGUAUUUGGACAAUGUUAAAAAAGAACAAAAAGUAAACUUUGAGAAACUCAGCUCAGACCAAGUGAGCUCGUUGGGCCUCAAGUACGACUAUGAUUCCAUAAUGCACUACGCCAAAAACACAUACUCAAAAAACGCCUACGUUGACACCAUCAAACCAAUCGUCGCUGAUGGUAUGAAAAGUCCAGAAAUUGGCCAAAGAGUGAAGCUAAGCGAAGGAGAUAUUACGCAGACUCAAAUCCUCUACAACUGUCCAAAGUGUGGUAAAACGUUUCAGACAAAGUCAGGAUCAUUUUCUUCGCCUCAAGUCAGUACCAAUUCAGCUGAAGGUAGUACUUUGUGCGAAUGGAGGAUCAGUGCAACUCCUGGGGAGAAAAUUAUAUUGAAUAUCACCUCCAUGGAUAUUUUGAAGUCGCCAAAUUGUUCGGAAAACUAUGUGGAAGUACGUGAUGGCUAUUGGAGAAAAUCAAAAUUACUAGGUGUGUUUUGUGGUCGUGGUGAAAUAAACAACAUCAAAUCCGAAAGCAACCGCAUGCUAGUUACCUACGUAGCUGACAAUACCAUCCCCAGCCAAACUUUUAAUGCAAACUUCGAAGUGAUUUGUGGUGGAGUACUUCACAUCAACUCUGAAGGGUAUUUAGCUUCACCAAACUAUCCCGACGAAUACCACCCAGGAAAAAGUUGCACUUGGUUUAUUACAGUACCAGAAAAAUACCAGGUGGCUAUAAAAUUUCUGGCUUUCGAUUUAGAACAUCACGUGAACUGCAGUUAUGAUUACGUAGAGAUUUCAGAUGGUUUCAGAUCGAAUUCAACACGUUUACAACAGUCUUGUGGUACUUUAAUACCUGAUGAUGUCACGUCUAGUGGUAGCGAGAUGACUGUAACGUUUGUGAGCGAUAGAUCGAACCAAAAAGGAGGAUUUUCUGCCAAAAUUAUCGCGGAAUUCAAUGAGUGUGAAAAAACUAAUCACGGGUGUGAACAGUUGUGUGUGAAUACAUUGGGAAGCUUCAUGUGUGCCUGCCAGCCUGGGUUUGAACUUCAUUCCGAUAGAAAAAGCUGCGUUGAUGCAUGUGGUGGUAAAUUCAACGCACCCAGAGGCACAAUAACUUCACCCUCCUUCCCUGAAUUGUACCCGGUGGGCAAAAAAUGUUCCUGGGAAAUCGAGGCGCCUCCCCAACAUAAGAUUUUUCUCAAUUUCACGCACAUGGACAUAGAGGGAAAUGACUACGACUACCAAUUGUGCGAGUACGACAGAGUUGAAGUUUACAGUCACCUGGGGAACUACAAAACGAAGCACCAUGGUACUUUUUGCGGUAGAAAAUUGCCGAAAAUGAUUGGGUCGGAUAGUAAUAUUAUGCGUAUUGGUUUUGAUUCGGAUGCCAAUGUACAGAGGACAGGUUUUGCAGCUGUGUAUUUUAUUGAUGUAGAUGAGUGUGCUGUAAGAAACGGUGGUUGUGACCACGACUGUACCAACACCUUGGGCAGUUACCAAUGUUCCUGUCGUACCGGCUUCACUCUUUCCGACAAUAAAAAGAACUGCAUCGAGGGUGACUGUGUCCAUGAGAUUUUCACUCCACCUCACGGUACAAUAAACAGUCCAAACUACCCCAAGUACUACCCACCCUCCAAGGACUGCGUCUGGCAUAUUAGGACACUCCCUGGACACAGAAUACGAUUUUUGAUGGAGAUUCGCCCAAGGCUGUCCAGCUGGGGAGGUAUUGCGGGCCUAUGGGUCCCCAUCACGUAGCCUCGUCGGAGAAUCAUAUUUAUAUGACGUUUAAGUCAGAUAACAACGUGCCUAAGAAAGGGUUUCUUGGUGUAUUUUCAACGCAAUGUGGUGGUCUGCUUCAAGCUUCUUUGGACAAAAGACAGAUAUACUCGCAUCCAAAGUACGGAAACACAACGUACGCUCCAAAAUCGAUCUGUAAUUGGUAUGUUCUGAGCUCCACCGGCUACAACGUC
rnacentral:misc_RNA from 1 species